ensembl:lncRNA
AUAUAUAACAGAUAUGAUGUCUAAAUAAUAAUUUUCCCUUUAGUCUACCUUUAAUUACAUUUUGAUAAAAAAUUAUGAAGGCAUUUUUUAUUUUUUGGUUAACAUGCACCUAUGCAUCACAAACAAUAAGACCAAAAUGUGCAUUAAGAAACAAAAUAGGGAAAAAAUGUAUUUCUAUUUUUUUACUUUAUGAAACCUAAAAACACCAAAAAGGCUCUUUUAUCCUCAUUUGUUGGAAUUUUUAACAAGAAAUCCACAAGUACUGCAGUAAAGCAUUGAGUUGAUGAACCGUUAACAUUUUUAGCAUACUUGCACUUUAAAUGACAUGUAAAUGUAAUUAAAUGCAUCGUGACCAUUACUAAAGUGAGUAAAUAUAGUCCUACCUGCUCAUUUGAAGUGGGAUGACACUUCACUUCCCACAUCUGAAUUAGUAAAAUUGUCCAUUUAUGCACUGUGUUUUAACCCACGGUUGUGCAGUGGUGCAAAUCUCUAAAAGUCUUUUUAACAUGCUUAUCAUUUGCAGUGACCCCAUGACAAUCUGCAGUACUUCAGCACUACGUCCUGGAUGCAAAAAUAGCAACUGUAAACAGGAAGUGCCUGUUGACCUUGUUUGCGUAUGCGUGCAGUUGAGGCCUCGCGUACUUCUGUUCAACUUUAACGGAUACAGUUUCAAGAUAAAGGACAUGUCUGCUGAAAAGAAGCCCAAAAAGAAGAAGCCCGAGUCGACUCCAGCAGAGACCAACGGGAUCGAAGCCAAAUCCAAAAAGACCAAGAGCAAGAAGAGCGACGAUCUGUUGGCCGAGAGCGACCCGGUCACUCAGAGUACGGCAGAGACCUCAUGUCCUGAUGUUACAUCACAGCGCUUCUGUCAGUCUGUUUACACAACUCUCACAAACCUCCCUCACAGAUGGAGAGAAGGUGAAGAAGAAGAAACUGGAGAAGGACAAAGAAUCAACAGAAAAGGAGAAGGAAAUCAAAAAGAAAGCGAAAAGCGCUCCAAAGAAGAAGAAGAGUAAGUGACCCAGUGUUUUUUUAGAGUCAUUUGAUUUGUGACCCUAAAGCACAAAAGCAGUCUUAAGUCUUUGGGGUAUAUUUGUAGCAAUAGCCAAAAAUACAUUGUAUGGGUCAAAAUUGUAGAUUUUUCUUUCAUGCCAAAAAUCAUUAGGACAUUAAGUAAAGAUCAUGUUCAAUGAAGAUAUUUUGUAAAUUUCCUACCGUAAAUACAUCAAAACUUAAUUUUUGAUUAGUAAUAUACAUUGCUAAGAACAACUUUAUUCGGACAACUUUAAAGGCGAUUUUCUCAUUAUUUACAUUUUCAAAUAGUUGUAUUUCGGCCAAAUAUUGUCCGAUCCUAUCAAACCAUACAUCAAUGGAAAGAUGAUUUACUCAGCUUUCAGAUAAUGUAUAAAUCUCUCUUUUUUUUUUUUAAUUGACCCUUAUGACUGGUUUUGUGGUCUAGGGUCACAUUUAUAUUAUUUAUAUUAUUAUAUUAAAUGAUGUUUGUUAUUUAUUUAUAUUAUAUAUUAUUCGAUUUUGUUUUUAUAUUUUUAGUUUUCAUUUUAACUUUAGCUUACGUUUUAAAAAAUAAUAAUAAUCAUAAAUAAAUAAUCAUUUAAAAAUUUGAAAUGUCUCUUC